rnacentral:rRNA from 1 species
GAUGAACGCUAGCGGCAGGCUUAACACAUGCAAGUCGAGGGGCAGCACGGUAGCAAUACUGGUGGCGACCGGCAAACGGGUGCGGAACACGUACAGAACCUACCUUGAUCUGGGGCAUAGCCCGAAGAAAUUCGGAUUAACUCCCCAUAAUAUAAUUGGAUGGCAUCAUUUGGUUAUUAAAAAUUUAAUUGGAUCGAGAUGGCUGUGCGUCCCUAUUAGCUAGUUGGAGGGUAACGGCCUACCAAGGCGACGAUGGGUAGCUGGUGUGAGAGCACGACCAGCCACACGGGCACUGAGACACGGGCCCGACUCUACGGGAGGCAGCAGUGAGGAAUAUUGGGUCAAUGGACGCAAGUCUGAACCAGCCAUGCCGCGUGAAGGAUGAAGGCCUUCUGGGUUGU